UACGGAGGGUGCAAGCGUUAUCCGGAUUUACCGGGUUUAAAGGGUGCGCAGGCGGAUAUGUAAGUCAGUGGUGAAAUCUCCGGGCUUAACCCGGAAACUGCCGUUGAUACUAUAUAUCUUGAAUGCCGUGGAGGUAAGCGGAAUAUGUCAUGUAGCGGUGAAAUGCUUAGAUAUGACAUAGAACACCUAUUGCGAAGGCAGCUUACUACACGGAGAUUGACGCUCAUGCACGAAAGCGUGGGGAUCAAACAGG
rnacentral:rRNA from 1 species